GAGGCAAGAAGAGGAGCAAGGGCCAUGGGGUGGGGGAUGGGAGAGAGUCACUCCUAGAGGGCCUUGAAGCCCCCCAAGGGGCCUGGACUUAGUUAUGCAGACCCCAGAAGGGGCCUGUGGCAGGGGCAGGGACUGGAGGGUGGCCCCAGGGCAGCAGACAGGCCAGCAGGAAGCCCAGUGCCACACCUCGGGACAAAGGAGGCAGAUCUGUGCCUCCUGGACACAGAUGGGACGGUGUUUCCUUGGGGGCAAGUGCGCGGAGGUGGCCUCCCCCCUGCCGGCAGCCAUGUGUCCUGGGAGGGGUCCCUCUGGAGCUGCUGCUGGGAGACCAAGGGACCCCUGCGGCUCAGUGCUGCCCGCCCUGUGAGGUGCCCCGCCACUGGGCCUUCCUCUGCACAUCCAGGAGGGGUGUCAUCUUCGAGUGCGUCUCUGACUACAUCCAGCCUGUUUGCACGUUCGCCUGGCACCAUGGGUUCUACCCAGAGAAAGGCCCUCUGCUGAAUCGCUGGCGCCGUCCUCGCAGGCUGAAUACAGAAGGGUCGGUGCAGGCAGAAUGCUAACCUGUACGUUAUCCAGGACGUUGGGGAUAGACGGCAACUUACACAAGCUUGUGCACAUCCAGGGGUACUUUCUGGAUCCCCGCCUCCCUGCCUCUGUGCCCACGCAUUGGCUGUGAUUACCAGCAUGAAGUGGGCUUGCCCCAAGCGGCUGCGGUUUCUCUCGAUUGUUAAGGGAGGAGGCACCAGCCUGGUGCUUUCAGGGGAGGGAGAGGACUUCAGUAUGCAGAAGGAAGAGAGCACCGUGGCAUCUCCCUGCACACGCUGGCUGGUGCCGCUGGUCUUUCCCACUCACCAGAAGACCCGAGGGAGCAGCCGUAGCUCAAAAUGUAAACCCUGCAGGGCUGGGGCCCCUCAUCCUGUGGGGGGAAGCCCCAGACUAUCCGGUGCCCCUCGGCAGUGCCCGGGCUACACGUGACCUCUCCUGGGCAAGCAGUCAUCUCAGGUUUGAUGUCAGAGCCCAGUGGGACCCAAGGUCAGGGCUGAUCCACAGAGGAUGAAGGAAAAGUGACCCCAGUUCCCGUUUGAGCAGAUGCACCAGAGCUGAGAUGGGAGCAAGGAUUAAGGUGCUCUGGUGUCCAGGACAUUGGGAGAGACAAACCUGUUCAUCUUAUUUUUCAGAAAAAAAAGGGGAAAACCCUGCUGAGGUCUUGGGGAGCCAUCGGCUGGCUUCACAGCCUCCUGGGGGUGGCCGAGAGUGGCAUCCCCCGUGGGGAUGCCGGGCUGGAGGGGCCGGCUCAGGAUGCAGGUGGAGCUUUGCACCCUGCAGCUCGCGGUUCUCCCGUCUACAAAUGGCGUUGGCUCCAGCAGCUUUGCCACACCUUGGAAGGUUCUGGAAAGUGAAUCCUGCAUCAAGGCUUGAAAAUCCUUGCUUCCUCCUUUGUUUAGGAUGU
rnacentral:lncRNA from 1 species